rnacentral:rRNA from 1 species
GGUUAUUAUACACCCCAACCCCAUCCCUUGAAAAAAGAAGGUAGCACCGAAGAAAGGAAAGAGCGAUAUGGUGGUUUUUGUUGUUCCCGCGAAGCGAAGAUCAUUCGGUUGGCGAAUGAAAUGGAUCAACCUCUUUUUGGCUCGGGCCAAACACUUUUUCUCGCUGGUAGAGCUUUCAAAAAAAAGCGAUGCGAGAGCAUAUUCUCUUAUCUAUGCUUCCUCCCUUCGCUCCCCCAUCGUAGAUGGUUCAGCCACACCCGAUGCCACGAAAUGAUUGAGAACUAG